rnacentral:rRNA from 1 species
UACGUAGGGUGCAAGCGUUGUUCGGAAUUACUGGGCGUAAAGCGUGUGUAGGCGGCUCGUUAAGUCUGGUGUGAAAGCCCUGAGCUCAACUCAGGAAUUGCAUCGGAAACUAACAAGCUGGAGUUCGGGAGAGGGUAGUGGAAUUCCUGGUGUAGAGGUGAAAUUCGUAGAUAUCAGGAGGAACACCGGUGGCGAAGGCGGCUACCUGGACCGAUACUGACGCUGAGGUGCGAAAGCGUGGGGAGCAAACAGG